rnacentral:rRNA from 1 species
CCAGCGACGCCGCGUGAGGGAAGAAGGUUUUCGGAUUGUAAACCUCUGUCAGUGGGGACGAUAAUGACGGUACNCACGGAGGAAGCCACGGCUAACUACGUGCCAGCAGCCGCGGUAAUACGUAGGUGGCAAGCGUUGUCCGGAAUUACUGGGUGUAAAGGGAGCGUAGGCGGGAUGUCAAGUCAGAAGUGAAAAUUAUGGGCUCAACUCAUAACCUGCUUUUGAAACUGAUAUUCUUGAGUGAAGUAGAGGCAAGCGGAAUUCCUAGUGUAGCGGUGAAAUGCGUAGAUAUUAGGAGGAACACCAGUGGCGAAGGCGGCUUGCUGGGCUUUUACUGACGCUGAGGCUCGAAAGCGUGGGGAGCAAACAGGAUUAGAUACCCUGGUAG